rnacentral:rRNA from 1 species
GAUGAACGCUGGCGGCAUGCUUAACACAUGCCAGUCGGACGGGAAGUGGUGGUUCCUGUGGCGGACGGGUGAGUAACGCGUAAGAACCUGCCCUUGGGAGGGGAACAACAACUGGAAACGGUUGCUAAUACCCCGUAGGCUGAGGAGCAAAAGGAGUAAUCCGCCCGAGGAGGGGCUUGCGUCUGAUUGGCUAGUUGGUGAGGUAAUAGCUUACCAAGGCGAUGAUCAGUAGCUGGUCCGAGAGGAUGAUCAGCCACACUGGGACUGAGACACGGCCCAGACUACUACGGGAGGCAGCAGUGGGGAAUUUUCCGCAAUGCGCGAAAGCUUGACGGAGCCAUGCCGCGUGGAGGUAGAAGGACCACGGGUCGUGAACUUCUUUUCUAGGAGAAGAAACAAUGACGGUAUCUGAGGAAUAAGCAUCGGCUAACUCUGUG